GACGUAGGGCGCGAGCGUUGUCCGGAUUUAUUGGGCGUAAAGAGCUCGUAGGCGGCUUGUCGCGUCGGCUGUGAAAACCCGCGGCUCAACUGUGGGCGGGCAGCUGAUACGGGCAGGCUGGAGUUCGGUAGGGGAGACUGGAAUUCCUGGUGUAGCGGUGAGAUGCGCAGAUAUCAGGAGGAACACCGGUGGCGAAGGCGGGUCUCUGGGCCGAUACUGACGCUGAGGAGCGAAAGCGUGGGGAGCGAACAGG
rnacentral:rRNA from 1 species